rnacentral:rRNA from 1 species
UGGGGAAUAUUGGACAAUGGGGGAAACCCUGAUCCAGCGACGCCGCGUGAGUGAAGAAGUAUUUCGGUAUGUAAAGCUCUAUCAGCAGGGAAGAAAAUGACGGUACCUGACUAAGAAGCCCCGGCUAACUACGUGCCAGCAGCCGCGGUAAUACGUAGGGGGCAAGCGUUAUCCGGAUUUACUGGGUGUAAAGGGAGCGUAGACGGCUCUGCAAGUCUGGAGUGAAAGCCCGGGGCUCAACCCCGGGACUGCUUUGGAAACUGUGGAGCUAGAGUGCAGGAGA